GACGAACGCUGGCGGCGUGCUUAACACAUGCAAGUCGAACGGAAAGGCCCUGCUUUUGUGGGGUGCUCGAGUGGCGAACGGGGGAGUAACACGUGAGUAACCUGCCCUUGACUUUGGGAUAACUUCAGGAAACUGGGGCUAAUACCGGAUAGGAGCUCCUGCUGCAUGGUGGGGGGUGGAAGGUUUCGGCGGUUGGGGAUGGACUCGCGGCUGAUCAGCUUGUUGGUGGGGUAGUGGCUUACCAAGGCUUUGACGGGUAGCCGGCCUGAGAGGGUGACCGGCCACAUUGGGACUGAGAUACGGCCCAGACUCCUACGGGAGGCAGAAGUGGGGAAUAUUGCACAGUGGGCGGAAGCCUGAUGCAGCAACGCCGCGUGCGGGAUGACGGCCUUCGGGUUGUGAACCGCUUUCGCCUGUGACGAAGCGUGAGUGACGGUAAUGGGUAAAGAAGCACCGGCUAACUACGUG
rnacentral:rRNA from 1 species